rnacentral:lncRNA from 1 species
AAAAGAUCUGGUUAGGUCCAACCAUUAACAUGAUUUGAUUUGAUGAAUUAGACCAAUAAAUGAUCAGGCCCGACUUUGGCCGGCCAACCUGACCACCAUCAGAAAGACUCAAACCAAAUUAUCAUAUUAUGAAUGAUAAUUCCAUUAGUCAAUAAGCACCAAGCCUUUGGGCCUCCAAUGAUUAUUAAACUAAUGGACUCAUUAUCACUCACUUAAUGGGAGGCUAUGACUUAGUUAUCAAUAUAACUUAAUCAUUUUUAGGGACCUAAUAAUUUUUGAAGAUUUUAUUAAAGGAUAGAUGAGAAGAAAAUAUCCAACCAAUUUUAAUCCUCCCACUAACUUCACCAAGUCAGAUUAAAAAAAGAUUUAAUUAAAGCUGGUAUUAGGAGCACCUAAAUCAGUCAAACUGAUUUACCUAAUGACAUGGGUGAGCCCUAAUCACCAAGUGAUCUAAUCAAAAUCUAAUUCACCAGAUUGGCCAGGUAAGUG